UACGUAGGGGGCAAGCGUUGUCCGGAUUUAUUGGGCGUAAAGAGCGUGUAGGCGGCUUGGUAGGUCCGCUGUGAAAACUCGAGGCUCAACCUCGAGAUGUCGGCGGAAACCACUUGGCUAGAGUCCGGAAGAGGAGAGUGGAAUUCCUGGUGUAGCGGUGAAAUGCGUAGAUAUCGAGAGGAACACCUGCGGCGAAGGCGGGUUGCUGGGCUGACACUGACGCUGAAGUGCGAAAGCUAGGGGAGCGAACGGG
rnacentral:rRNA from 1 species